CUACGGGUGGCUCCAGUGGGGAAUAUUGGACAAUGGGCGGAAGCCUGAUCCAGCAAUGCCGCGUGUGUGAAGAAGGCCUGCGGGUUGUAAAGCACUUUCAGUCGGGAGGAAAAGGGUUCGGCGAAUACCCGGACUUCUUGACGUAACCGACAGAAGAAGCACCGGCCAACUCCGUGCCAGCAGCCGCGGUAAUACGGAGGGUGCGAGGCGUUAUCGGAAUUACUGGGCGUAAAGGGCGCGUAGGUGGCGAGAUCAGUCUGAUGUGAAAGCCCCGGGCUUAUCCUGGGAACUGCAUUGGAUACUGUCUGGCUAGAGUUUGGUAGAGGGGAGUGGAAUUUCCGGUGUAGCGGUGAAAUGCGUAGAGAUCGGAAGGAACACCAGUGGCGAAGGCGACUCCCUGGAUCAAAACUGACGCUGAGGUGCGAAAGCGUGGGUAGCAAACAGGAUUAGAUACCCUCGUAGUC
rnacentral:rRNA from 1 species